rnacentral:lncRNA from 1 species
CCUUGUAUCAGACACGAGUCGAGCCAAAGCCCACUCCUUGUAUUAGAUAAGUCAAAGCUUGCUCUUGGGGCUAAAUAUGAGUCAAGCUGAAGCUCGCUCUUCAUACCAGACACUAGUCGAGUCGAAGCCACUCCUCAGAUAUGAGUCGAGUCGAAGCCACUCCUCAUAUUAGAUAUGAGUCGAGCCAAAGACUUCUCCUUAUAUCAAAUAUCAGUUG